AGGGCAAUCUUGCUGUGACAUCUGUCAUCCCAUUGGUCACCAGGGUUGAUUAGGCUGAUCUGGUUAGCUAGGGGGUGUCCCUUCCUCCCUAACCCCUUCAUGUGCAUAUCUCCUAAAACUGAAGGGUCUGCCCCCUUGGGGUACUGUUCCUGGGUCAACAGUAUAGGAGUAGUUGCUCCCCUGCUAGAACCUCCAAACAAGGUCUCAAGGUCCAUUUGUACAAUAACAUAGGGUAAUCCAGCUUCCAAGACUCUGGACACAACAAAAUGAGGUGCUGCAUAUGGCAGUCUGCCUUUCUUU
ensembl:misc_RNA 7SK 7SK RNA